rnacentral:rRNA from 1 species
CUACGGGUGGCAGCAGUGAGGAAUUUUGCGCAAUGGGCGAAAGCCUGACGCAGCAACGCCGCGUGAGUGAUGAAGGCCUUCGGGUCGUAAAGCUCUGUCAAGUGGGAAGAACCUAUGUAAUGUUAAUAUCAUUAUAUACUGACGGUACCACUGAAGGAAGCACCGGCUAACUCCGUGCCAGCAGCCGCGGUAAUACGGGGGGUGCAAGCGUUAUUCGGAAUCAUUGGGCGUAAAGGGCACGUAGGCGGCCUGGUAAGUCAGAUGUGAAAGCCCGGGGCUUAACCCCGGAAGUGCAUUUGAUACUGUCAGGCUUGAGUAUGGGAGAGGGAAGUGGAAUUCCUGGUGUAGAGGUGAAAUUCGUAGAUAUCAGGAGGAACACCGGUGGCGAAGGCGACUUCCUGGACCAAUACUGACGCUGAGGCGCGAAGGCGUGGGUAGCAAACAGGAUUAGAUACCCUAGUAGUC